rnacentral:rRNA from 1 species
GAUUUCCGUUAAGGAGAUCUUUUGGCACCUCUAAAAAUGGUGCAGAAUAAGGGGUGGGCAUGUCUGGUGUCAGCCGCCGCGGUAAUACCAGCACCCCGAGUGGUCGGGACGUUUAUUGGGCCUAAAGCAUCCGUAGCCGGUUCUACAAGUCUUCCGUUAAAUCCACCUGCUUAACAGAUGGGCUGCGGAAGAUACUAUAGAGCUAGGAGGCGGGAGAGGCAAGCGGUACUCGAUGGGUAGGGGUAAAAUCCGUUGAUCCAUUGAAGACCACCAGUGGCGAAGGCGGCUUGCCAGAACGCGCUCGACGGUGAGGGAUGAAAGCUGGGGGAGCAAACCGGAUUAGAUACCCGGGUAGUCCCAGCUGUAAACGAUGCAAACUCGGUGAUGAGUUGGCUUAUUGCUAACUCAGUGCCGCAGGGAAGCCGUUAAGUUUGCCGCCUGGGGAGUACGGUCGCAAGACUGAAACUUAAAGGAAUUGGCGGG